UCCCCAGACUCCUACGGGAGGCAGCAGUGAGGAAUAUUGGUCAAUGGCCGGGAGGCUGAACCAGCCAAGUCGCGUGAGGGAAGACGGCCCUACGGGUUGUAAACCUCUUUUGCCAGGGAGCAAGGUGCAGGUCGGGACCUGCUGUGAGAGUACCUGAAGAAAAAGCAUCGGCUAACUCCGUGCCAGCAGCCGCGGUAAUACGGAGGAUCCAAGCGUUAUCCGGAUUUAUUGGGUUUAAAGGGUGCGUAGGCGGAUUGAUAAGUUAGAGGUGAAAUGUCCGAGCUUAACCCGGGAACUGCCUCUAAUACUGUUGAUCUAGAGAGUAGAUGCGGUAGGCGGAAUGUAUGGUGUAGCGGUGAAAUGCUUAGAGAUCAUACAGAACACCGAUUGCGAAGGCAGCUUACCAAUCUAUAUCUGACGUUGAGGCACGAAAGCGUGGGGAGCAAACAGGAUUAGAUACCCUCGUACA
rnacentral:rRNA from 1 species